AAGCCCACGGGCCCUUGGGGACGGACGGGCACUGUUCCCCAGAGCAGUGCAAUCAAUGCUGGGAAACUGAAGCUGCGAGUGUCCGAGGGACCCUGGGACGUCUCUGGGGUCUGCGUAGGUACCCAUGGAGGAGCAGAGAUGGCAGAUGAAGGAGGCCGUGGAGGAGAAAAGAACACAGGAAUUCACCAGAAAUUGGCAGGCUGUGGAAUUGACGGAGUCCUCUUACUGUCCAGGCCUAAGGGGUCCAAUAAUCCCAUCCUUUGCCGAACGCUUUACUGUGGGACUGGCAUCAUUUCAAGCAUUUAAUCCUCGUCCCAACUCUACGAGGAAGACAGGGUCUCGCUUUGUCACCCAGGCUGGAGUGCAAUGGUGCAAUCACAGCAUACUGCAGCCUCAACCUCCCAGGCUCAAGCAAUCCUCCCACCUCAGCCUC
rnacentral:lncRNA from 1 species